UUGAACAUCAACUCCCCUUGUCUCCUAUUUUAUUUUGCUAUUUUUUAUACUGUCAUUGUCGCACCUUUGCAACCCCUUUUUUUCUCCAUUGUCGUCGUCCCUAUAAGCCACCAUAUUUUUUGUCGCCACUCUUUUGAUACUCUUCCUUUAUUCUUCGUUAUUUUUCUGUCAUCACAGAUCUGAGCAAGUAGAGUAAGUGCAUAAUUUGUACUUUAAUUUUUUCAAAUCUAAUUUUUUUCUCUUCUUUUCAUAUUAUGUUAUGGCCGAUUGAUUUUUUCCAUGGUCGAAUCUUACAAGUUACCUUUUCUUUGGUGCUUGAAUGUUUAAGAUCUAGAUCUAAACCAUAUGGAUCAUCCAUAGUAUUGGGAAAUCUGUUUGCAAAGCCGUCAUAAGUCAGUUAGGUAAGCAUUAAUUUUUAACUUCAGAUUUGAAGUUUUUGGUUAACAUUUGCUACUUGGUCGAACCCUAUAAGGGCAUUAGGGGGAUGAAAUUAAUGAUUAAAACUCUACUGGGUACAUAUCUGAGUUGGAGCUAUCUAGAUCUCAAGCGUAAGAGUUGUGGGAAAAUGAUAAAGUUCAGGUUAGCGCUAACAAGUGUGGGUCUUCCCCUAUGUCUAAUUAACUUGUAAAUCAUAUAAUAUAUACUUAAAUAAUAAAUUUUCUUGUUGGUUUUGGUUUGGCUGAAUGACCUAAGUACAAAUAAGUGAAGUGUUGAGCAAUAUACGUAAUCAAUUAGAAAGCCUGUUUGUUGAAGGUCCUGUUUGGGUGAUGAAAUUGUGUAUUGAAUGCAUGUAUAACAGUUACUGAAAGCAUGAUAUGCUACAUGAUUGAUAUGCCAUAUUGCAUUGCAUGAGUUUGGGUAUUUGAGGUUGACAGAGGAGUUAUGUGGAGUACUGACGACAUGUAAAGCCCGCAAUAUUGUUGUCAGUGCACUGCACUGGAGUAUCAAGGAGAUUGGGAGAUUUAUCGCAUUUUACUGGUAGCUUGUUUGCAUUUUUACUAGAAGUCUUAUCUGCAUACUAUUACUGGUGGUUUUAACCACAUCAAGCUUUGGCUUUUACUGUUUUGGAGUUCGGAUGACGAGUUCUGGGGAACUCAAGGUGUGUAGUAGACGGAUAGGUAGGACCAUUGCACUGUAUUAUUGAGCAUGCCAUAUUCAUAUGUUGUAAUGCCAUGAUAACUUAUUUGAGCUGUAAUAAUAAUUGUGUGUCUAUUUGACUGAUUGAAUGCUUAUAUUGCUUAGACUCACAUUGGGCUUUUAAAGCUCGCUCCCUAGUUUACUUCUUACAGAUAACCUUCAGGAUUAGGCUCGGGCUCAGCAUACAGAGGUCUCAUUUCGAAUUUUCUAGCAAUAAAUUAUUUUUUAAUUACUCUAUUUAUUUUGGUAUUAUUAUUUUGG
rnacentral:lncRNA from 1 species